GACGAACGCUGGCGGCGUGCUUAACACAUGCAAGUCGAACGGAAAGGCCCUGCUUUUGUGGGGUGCUCGAGUGGCGAACGGGUGAGUAACACGUGAGUAACCUGCCCUUGACUUUGGGAUAACUUCAGGAAACUGGGGCUAAUACCGGAUAGGAGCUCCUGCUGCAUGGUGGGGGUUGGAAAGUUUCGGCGGUUGGGGAUGGACUGGCGGCUUAUCAGCUUGUUGGUGGGGUAGUGGCUUCCGAAGGCUUUGACGGGUAGCCGGCCUGAGAGGGGGACCGGGCACAAUGCUCCUGCGAGACGGACCAGACGCCUACGGGCGGCAACGGUGGAGAAUAUUGCACAAUAGGCGGAAGCGUGAUGCAGCAGCGCUCGGUGCGGGAUGACGGCUUUCGGGUUAUAAACCACUUUCGCCUGUGACGAAGCGUGAUUGACGGUAAUGGGUAAAGAAGCAACGGCUAACUACGUG
rnacentral:rRNA from 1 species